UCUUAAGGGAGAGGGAUUUAACUCGAGCUCAAUCGAAGGAGAGAACUGGAUUCGAAGGAGGCGGUGUAUCUCGACGUCUAUCUGUAAUAAUAACGUGUACGACAACAUGUCAAAUUAUUCAGAAGUUGCGAGGCACGCAGGCGUGUACGCGAGUGUUUGCACGGGGGCGGCUCGUGCGUGCGUGCGUGCGUGUGCCACGUCGAGGAAACCACGUCCGGGGUUGGUAUAGCGGGCAGACACGUGUUCGCGGUGGCGGUGGCUCUCGACAGCAGUUUUAUAAUUGCCGGUAAUCUCGAUGUAGCGCGAGAUUCGAUGAUCUUUCGUUGGGGAUAAUAACGAAGAGAUUCUUCUGUUGAAAUAAAAUUAAGAAAAAAAAAAAAGAAACAAUUGCGAACACUAGCGAUGAUUAAUUCGAAACAAGUCGAUAUUUAUCCGGGCAACUGCAUCGAGAAUGGGACAAAGAUCUCGAUCGAAGGUAUCCCGUUCACCGAGUUGUACGAGUUAUACGAUCGAUGGAAAAGUCGUGAUAACGACCUUUCUCUAUCGAGAUUGACAUUUAGAUUACACGACUCGUGGAUUGUCAUGCGAACAGUGGACCCCUCUAAUAGGCUCUAUUAGCAUGAAACGGUGUAAUCGGUUCGUCGUAUGCACACACACGCCGGAGAAAAGGGAACGACGAAUGGCAUGCCUCUCCCCAAGGCUGCCACCUUUUCGACUCGACGCUUUCGCAUCUCCCGAACACUACGUGCAAUGCAACUAUAUUCCACAUUUCCAAUUUUUUCCAAACUUACUCCUCCCUUAAACCACUUUUUACCAAGCACCUGCGAUCAAUCUUGAAACGAUCAAAACCUCCACGCGAGAAUUGAUCGAUCACGCCAAGCGCCAAGUUGGCAGCCCUGCCCCUCCGUCUCUCUCGUUAUGCGCGCGCAUCACGUGACUCGAACUCUCGAGCAUACCAGCUGGUAAUGCGCCUCCUCGAAGGAGACGCGCACCUGCGGCCGCCCUUCCGUCUAAUUAUUCGGCCGGCUUUUUUAACUCGCGGCGAUUUAUAUCGAGCAAUUAGCCCCGGCUGUAGCGCUAAUUGGAGUGAGAGCGGCGUAUAAACGUGGCCUGGACCACGGGUCGGCCGAUAAACACCGACUGUCUCGUUAGUGCCUCGCGUGGGGUCCUCGGUGCACUUUCGACGAGGAAAGUUUUCGAGGAGGGGCAGGGCUCUCGAUUCAAUUUGAAAAAUACCGCGCUGUGUCCGGGGACGUUUUGAACGUGCACUUUCUAAUUAACAAUCGAGGAAGAGGAUAAAGAUCGAAUUUUCACUCGAACGAGUUUCAAACUUUGAAAAAAGUUUGGAAAACUCAUAUUGCGGAAUUGACUCAUAUUUAAAAUUCUAGAAUUUUGAAUUUCGAAAACGUUCUUUGAUAUUGAUAUGAAUUAAAAAUGGAAAACACUGGAGCUAGAGAGACUGAUUGCCUGAGUUUGGAUCUUUAGAGAAGAGGAUUAAUUUCUAACGGAGAUAAAUCCUGUAAUUCGAUCUCGAAACCGCGUGUUUCCAAACACCGUUAAAAAAAAAGAUAUUCAAAUUUCGCAUCGGAAAGGGAAGAGAAAUGACCGAGGCGUGGAAUCGGUAAGAGUAGGUCUACAGAGCGAGAAAACGGACUAAGAAACGUUUAAGGUUUCAAGGUGUUUAGGAGCAGUUUCGUACGCGGCGAGCAAAUUGCCCGUUUCGACCCAUCUUACGUUCCCCGAAAAGUGGCCUGUUCCUGGUUAAUGACGAGGCAUUUUCGCGCCUCCCUUCGCUACCUGCCAGACAUUGAUGGAUACUAUCCUCGAUUCCAGGCUAUUUUAAUUUAUGUUUUCGCACGAGAAAUCCGGAUUUCCUUGUUUUAUUCGCCCCCGUUUGGGACAGAAUCGUCUAACCUCUUUCCAUUUUGCAUCCUGCAUCGUCAUCAAAAAAAUUUUAUUCGACUUGGUCUCCUUACCUAUUUUGAUUGAAUAAAAUUUAAAAAAAAAAAAUAUAAAGAUAGAUAAUAUUUAUACUUUGCUGCCAUCUUGGAAAAAUGAAAAGUUAAUUAAUAAAGGUUGGCGGAUUGGAGCUCGAAUCAAAAAUCGAUCGCAUCGAUCCACACUGGAAGAAAUGACGUGAAAGGUAUGUGAAUCCAUAUCGACAUCCUACGUACGAUCUACCGACUAUCUUUCCCCUCCAGUCGAACUGUCUCGUCUAUUCCCACAGAUGAUGGAAUUUAUAAGACGUGACACAACGACUAUCCACAGCUGCAUCGUUCAUCGGUAUCUUCUUCGUUGAGAAUUGCCUCGUGCACUCGUCCAUGCAUAUGCAUAAGCACGAUACACUGGCCGUUUAUCCUCUGGUCGAUUUUUAAUAAUGGUAUUUAAGUCUUAUCAAAGUGUAAAAAUACAUUGUAAUCUCAUAUUUUAACAUAUAUUUUACAUAUCAAGUAAUAUUAUUCAGAUCGUAAUAAAUAAAAAUAAAAGGUGAAUAAAUUUUUAGACGUGGACGUUAAGUGACUGAGAGAUUAAAAUUUAACGGCAAUAAUUAAGUCUAAUUAAAGUCAAAUACAAUUUAUAUCACUGGUGGAUUUACGUUCCAAGAUCGAGUCCAAUCUUUUUAAUUUAUUUACGCAAUAUAUUUUCCAAACUAAUUUUACCGAUUAUAAAUUUUUCUAUAAAUUCUGAGACAGAUACGAAUCGACUAUUGUGACAAUAGAGAAGAGCAGCACUGAGAUAAUCAAGUAGUUGGUUCAUUGUUUAUCUUUCGAAACCUAUUCGUUCGUUAUUAUACGCGAUUAUACGUUUUCCAAAUUGUGUAUAAAGCACAAAUUCUGAAAAAAAAUGCCCGGAUAUUAUAUACACAAUGAAAGGAAAGAGGGCAGCACCAGAGGGUCCAGUUGCGCGAGAUCUCUCGUGGCAGAUAUGGCGUUGGCCCCUAAACAUCCACCAUUAUAUUAAAUUGUGUAUAUUUCCCUUCAUAAUUACUCGAAUUAUGUAAAUCGGUAUGUUAAUACGCUGCAUCCACCCUCCUGAACCCCUUCCUCUUCGCUACGCAAAGCCUCUUCCUCUCGCGCAGUACCUCGACCGCCACGCCACCGUACGAUUACAGCAAUUUCGUUUAAGCGUGCGCUAAAUGUUACUUUAUGCGCUUUUUAUUCAACCGGCAUCCGGUCUCGCGGAUACGUGCACCGUCGUCCCUCAGGUCCUCUUUUCUAGAUCGUGCCCCGUUUAACGCGCGCCUCUAUUUACAUAAUAUUUCGCGAGGAGAUACGUAUCGAACGUCGUGAGCGUGCUCGACUCCCGAAAAAAGAGAUCUCUGGUCGUCGUGAACGUUGAAAGUGAGUGAUUGGUUUAAAAAAAGAAAUUGUUCGAUACAUCUUCUUUUUCCAAAAUUCGAAAAUUGGUUGAACUGAUGAGAAAGAAAUAAUCUAUCGAUAUCAAUAACAAGAACAAGAUCCUAACCUAUAAGCUUGAAAUUUAUACGACCAAGAUAAAUCGGUAGAAAGUGCAUUGGGCGUAAUCGGACUGUAAAAGAAUUUUCACCGAAACGAAAAAUAUAUAAAAAAAAAAAAAAAAAAGAAAAUUCUUAAUUAAACGAGACAAAGACAAAUCGGUAGAAAGUAAAACACGACAACUACGAAAGAAUUUUUACAGCGCAACCGUGGCCGUGCUCGUUUAUCUCGUAUAGUUUCUCGUCCCAAUUAUCCGUCGCGUGAAAAAUUUAUUCUUUCCGCAUAUUUUACGUUAGUCGGCCGGUGUAGCCGCCCUAUUUACAUAAUUUUUCGCGAGAUCGAUAUCGGGGCAGAGAUUGCACCGCUUUAAUGAGGCAGGGCAACGAAAUUAGGAAUCUAAAGCCAUUCACGCGGACCUGACCACGCAAGGUGAUCAACCGGCGAUCGACGGAUAAGUGCGAUCUCUGUUAUUAGCGAUAGGAAUCGAUUCAUAAAGCAAAUCGACAACCACCGAAGGCGGUCGUACGAGGGCGCGCAACUCAAUUCACUCAUCGUGUUUCGGGUUUAAGUUUAGCGCCCUCUCUCGCGUUAAUACUCUCGGUAAUGUCGUGUAAACAUGGUGUCGUACAACGUGUUUUUCGUGGAUUCGUCGUUUUAAAAGUUUCGAGUCUGACAAGAUUUCGAAAAAUUAUGACAAGAUAUCGUGGUGAGGUUAUGAUACGUGUGAGUAAUGAUUACGUUUUUAUUAACGGUAACAGGGAAAAUUUUAUGUACGAUAUCUUUUCCUCUUUUGCGACGAUAUCGGAAAAAUUAUCAACGAUACAACAAUCGUCCGUAUAACCUAGAACGACAUAUCACGCGUAUAUGAUAAAUGUCAAGUAAUAAAUAUUAUUGGAAAAAAUUAAAGUAUGAUAGCUAAUUGGUUAUUGUGUAUAGCAGUAAUAUACUUGCUUCUAAGUAUUUUUUAUAGUAUAAUAGUUAAAUUCUUAUUCUAUAUAGCAGUAAUAUACGUAAUUCUAUACAUUAGUUAUUUACUUUUUAUUAAUUACAGGUAAUUAAAGAAAUUUUCACUUAAAUUAAGAAUUUAUCAAUAUAAAUGAAUUCAGACAGAAUAUACUACCGUUUAUUUGCAGCGAAGUCAACGAAUAGAACGAAUCAUUACUUCAUGGAAUUAUUUUUCAAAACUAUUCACACAUUUUCUCAAUAACUCAAAAACUUCAAGUCGAACGUUAAUCUUAACAAGAGCACUCACCAUGCCCCGACAGUCUUGCCAACAUCUAAACGCUGUUCGAUCCCUUCUUCCCUGAAACAGGUCUCGGAGACUCGUCCAAUUGACACAUCGGAAGGCACGUUUCCAGAUCAAGUUCAUCGAAUCGGAAGAACGAUAUUAUUAACGACUCGGUUCUCGUUUUUUCUCGUAGGAGAGCCGCGUACAGAUUACCGAGUAAUCCACGGCCUCAUUACCGACGCCAAUUAUCGAAUGGGACGAAUCGAUCGGUGGCAAACGAUCCCCGCCGACUCUCAAUCAACUUUCCGAGGCGAAGGACGCUGAUCGACGAGCAGCCGGAUGACGAUCGACUGCAAUUUCGAUGAUGAUACGGAAUUAUCCAUCUGAGAGAAGGGAGAUAGCAGCAACCGGGCCCUGAACGACGAAGUACACACACACCCCACCCCACUUGCUCGAUACGUGUAUCGGGCCAUCGGUGUACGAGAACGCUUGGAGAGGCUUUAUUACACGUAGGACGGAGUGGAAGGACGAUCACGGAUCCGCGGGCGAACUUCGUUACGGACCUAUGUGAUUUUCCAUGCAAAUUGAGUUGUUCGCCUGUCAUUAUGCUAAUAAAAGUAAUGACGCGUCGCGUAUGUACCGAGUAAUGCAGCUGCUGUAAUGAACCACGGUGUAGUAUAUCGGCUUUGGAGGUCCUCGCACCGUUUCGAGAAGCGUGACACCGCGACGUUUUCUACGCUUUUGUGGAACGCAACACAACGCAACACUCUGGCCGAAGCGAGAAAAUAUUAAUAAAGAGAGUUGGAUUCGUACGAGCAAUAACCAGGUUAUUCAAAUUUCCUAUUCGGUACAUCGUUGCGAUAGUCGUCUCGUUUCGAAUCUCGUGCAACGCUUUUAUUAUUCUCAUAGCCGAGAAAGUCCUAACCUCAAAUACGAUUUCCUCUUUAUUAUUCUCCAUUCUCUUAUUUAGUCUUAUUUCGAUUUCCAUUAAAGAUCGAAUGUAUUUCUAAUUAAGUAAAGUAAAUAAAUAAAUAAAUAAUUACAUCAGAUAUCACGUUACGUAAACAAGUUUAUAUAACAAGAGACACGCUAUUAAUUACAAUUUCAUUGUAUACCAUCGAAUUGUCUUUGUUGUAUACGUUCGCAGUACACGUGCACAUGCCUUCGCCAUCUUAUCUAAUGAUAAAUCAUUUAUAAGGGAAGUGGAUAAAUGACAUCUGUCCGGUUAAUUAGUUCGAGAAAUGUCGCGGUGCGGCGCAUGCGUGAGGAAAGAGAAUGAAGGAUAUGGAAGUUUGUUCUGGAAAUCUGAUCGAGAAACACGUGCAUAUUUUUUUUUCUUUCUUUCUUUCUUUCUUUUUAAUAACGGGUUACGAUCGAUACGGAAAGUGAUAUCGAGGGAUCGGAGGAAUUCUUCGAAAAAAUAAUAGGGUAAGAUGAUAGUAAUUAUCGCGAAUGAUGUUUAUAAUUAUUUCGUUAACACAUUUGCAUCAUCGUUACGUGAACACGCGAGAAAUUUAACCUUAUAUGUUAUAUAAAUAUUUUUUCUUGCAUUUACGAUCGAAUUUACGCAAGAAAAUUACUCGUGGAAACGAUAAUUAUUUUUUUUUGAAACUCACGAGACUGUGAAAGUUAAUUAUGAUGUAUGCCAUUACUUACUUUUUACUUUGUCAUUAUUUUUUAUGAAUUUUUUCAGUUUAAAGAAUUAAAAAAAGGAACAAAAUAUGUAAAAAGACCAAAAAUCUAUAUACAAAAUCGAUUUUUUCGUCGAAAUUUUUCACAAAAAGCAGCACUUGUCACCUAACCUAAACCACACAAAGUGUCACGAGUAUCGAGUACCUCAAAUACGAUUCGAAACUAGUUGAAUUUUGAAUCGACGGAUUCUCGUGUUCAAAAAAAUAAGAGAAAAAAAGGGAACGCGAGAGAGCGAAGAGAAAACGACGAUGCAUCGAGACGAUGUCUAUCAUCGACGUCUCCGUUUCUCACAAAGCGGUACUCGUCACUCGGCCGAUGCAUCGUGGGAGUGAUUGCGGAAACGUCUGACGGUGGCGCAGCCGCGUUUACGUGCGUGCAUAAUGCAUAUCGCGUGACUUCGUCACGGAUCCGGACAGUUACAACGUGUACACGCGUAACAAUAUCGCGUAUCAAGGGGAAUCUCGUUGCUCCUCUCUCUCUCUCUCUCUCUCUCUCUCCCUCUCGUACACUCGCUCACGGCGACGUCUGGCAUUUUAAUCGAAGCUGCGAGGGAGAAAUGGAUUGCCGGCGGCGGAACGCGUUAUCCUCGCGGCCGGGGUACCGUAACGAUCGCGUUAUAAAAUAGAGACCGUAAGCCACUUUGCUACAAUCCCAUGACUUUUUCUCGAACGAUCGUCCAUCGCGGAAACCGUCAUAAUUAGGGACGAGUCGCGAUUACGAUAUCCGAUUUGUUGGGCUGAUGAGGUCCGUUUUGGUUUAGUCUUAGUUUAGGAAGGAUCGUUGAGGGAGAUAUUUAUUUGAUAUUUGAACGAUUUUUGUUAUCGAUAAGGGAGAUGUUGAUGGAUGAUCGAAGAGAAUUAGGAAGGUGGUGCCCUCUAGCGGAGAAUAAUAAAAAAUAAUGAAUUUCGCUCGACUCGUUCCUUUUCUUGUUAGGUUAUGUAAGCGUGGAAAGUGAUGUAUUUAAGAAAUCUUUCGGAGUAAUUAUAUAUUCGUUGGCAAAAUUAAAAAAUUUCCUCCAAUUUCUUUCGAAAAACUUUUCGAUCGACGAUUCUGGUAACUAAAUAAGAAAAAUAAUACAUGAAGUAACGAUUACCAGCAACACAAUAUCGGGAGAACCGGUUCAAAAUUAAAAAUAACGCGAUUAUUCGUUAAACAGGCCGAGUUUUUCACGUGACGCGAUCGUGUUCCGAGCAAUUUGUAAAACAAGAAUCACCGGUCUCGCGUAUAUACGCCUCGGAUCGCGGCCUUGCCUUUUUUCCAACGCGCGCCGCCUGUAUCGCGAGCGGCGCUAUAAGCUGGCAAUUAAAAGCGUGCAGCAGGGACAUUUAUGUUGGCACUAACUGCCCGUUAAGACGAAGGAACCGCCUAACCGUGGAAGGUGUAAUUGGCCGGCGUGGUGAACCCGCAGCUCGUAAAACAGCGGGCGUGCCUAGCCGAGGGCCGCAAUUUUUCCGCCAUCGCGUAUCGCGUUACCGUGAAUUUUUCGAUCGAUCCUUCGAAAAGGCCGUAACGCGUUUCUCCCUUUCCAAUCCUCUCUCUCUCUCUCUCUUUCGAUCGGUCGAAUUCGUUUUAUUUUCGAUUAAUUCGUCUCUCUACUGCGGCACGUAUACCAUUGACUCUACAAAAUUUGAUUCGAACAAUAAAUACGAUAAUAAAAAAUAAAGUU